rnacentral:rRNA from 1 species
GUGAACGCUGGCGGUAGGCCUAACACAUGCCAGUCGCACGGCAGCACAGUAAGAGCUUGCUCUUACGGGUGGCGAGUGGCGGACGGGUGAGGAAUACAUCGGAAUCUACUUUUUCGUGGGGGAUAACGUAGGGAAACUUACGCUAAUACCGCAUACGACCUACGGGUGAAAGCAGGGGAUCUUCGGACCUUGCGCGAUUGAAUGAGCCGAUGUCGGAUUAGCUAGUUGGCGGGGUAAAGGCCCACCAAGGCGACGAUCCGUAGCUGGUCUGAGAGGAUGAUCAGCCACACUGGAACUGAGACACGGUCCAGACUCCUACGGGAGGCAGCAGUGGGGAAUAUUGGACAAUAGGCGCAAGCCUGAUCCAGCCAUACCGCGUGGGUGAAGAAGGCCUUCGGGUUGUAAAGCCCUUUUGUUGGGAAAGAAAAGCAGCAGGUUAAUACCCCGCUGUUCUGACGGUACCCAAAGAAUAAGCACCGGCUAACUUCGUG